UGGAAGCUGUGUGCAUACAUACGAGUAGUUCUUUAGAGAGAGAGGGAAGCCAUUGUUGUAGGGAGGAAAGAGCUGGCGGAGGAAUUGUUGCAGGGAGGAAGAAGCGGGUGGAGGAAAAGUUGGAGGGGCAGGCCAAUCCUUAUCGCUUGCAGGAGGGAGGGCGGUGGCCGUACGCGUGUGGGGCAGGGGCCGGCCAGGAGCGACGGAGCGAAGGAUCGAACGGAGGAGAGAGUGGCCGAGUAGUCGGAGGACGCGAGCACGUCGAAGAGGGAGUGCUGUUGACGUCCCUCUUCGGGCUUUUUAGGGGUAGAGAUGUCACGUGAGCUAUCCACAUUAAAAGUUACUAUAUGCUAUGCUAGGAAAAAUUAGUAUUAU